UAAGAGUAAAGUUGUACGGGAAACACGACAUCCAAGGACACGUGGCAGGCACAGGCAAAAUGCCAGUGAUGUGGAGAACAGUCACCCUGAGGACAGCAGCCGUCUCGUUGUAGAGAAGAUGCCAGACAAUGGAAUAUCCACUCCCAUGAGAGAGUCUGAAGGACUAAGGUGUGUUGGAGGGCAUCCACCAUGAAUGAACUGUACGGCAGCGACAAGAAAACCACCCAAGGAGCUGUAUUCCUUCUAACUCACCAGCACUGCCCAACUACAAUAAAUUCCCUUCAUCCCUUCGUUCCACAUGGCUGCUAUUAGUGCCAGUAGUUUCCCUUCAGCUUGUGUUCCACGGAACAGUCUCCUAAACCACAGCAUGAUUUUGACUCACCAUUUCAUUUUAAUUCCUGAUUAAAUACAUACCAGACACAGGAAAACCAACCCUGAACACCAGUUAUUUGUUUAAGGAAUCACCAUAUUAACAGUUUAUGAGGGACCCAGGAAUGGAAAGUUAGACUGACAUUUUCACACCUGCAAUCACCAGAAUCACAGAAGACAGUAGGCAGAAGAAAUACACAUUAAACACUUCAGUUUGUAAGCAACCAGCAACAGAUACAGAGA